ensembl:lncRNA
AUUUGUAAUCAAAAAACGAUCAGGGAAAUGGAGACUGUUACACAGUCUCAGAAAGAUUAAUGCUGUAAUUGAAGAUAUGGGCUCUCUGCAACCAGGGCUGCCUUCCCCCACUAUGCUACCACAGCCGUGGCCGCUUAUAGUAGUGGACUUAAAAGACUGUUUUUUUUAACAUCCCAUGGUGCUCUGGUGAUGCACCAUGUUUUGCAUUUUUGGCUCCCUCUAUUAACAGUGGGGAACCCCGUCGUCGAUAACACUGGACUGUGUUACCUCAGGGCAUGAAGAACAGCCUGACCUUUGUCAACAAUUUGUUGCCAGAGUUUUAUCUCCUGUAUACCAGAAUUUCCCAAUGUCUGCAUAUACCACUUCAUGGAUGAUAUCCUGGUCAUUGUGCCAAGAGACGUGAUGGUGACUGAAGCUGUGUCAGUAUUCAUAACAGCAGCAGCUCAGGCAGGAUUGUAGAUUGUGCAGGACAAAAUCCAAAGGAUACCACCUUGGCUACAUCUGGGCUGGAGGAUUUCGCAGACUUGAAUCCAGCCUCAGACUCGAACUUUAGGUACCAAAAUUAGCACCCUAAAUGAUCUGCAAAAGUUCUUAGGUGUCAUACAUUGGGAGCGACCCAUGGUGGGAAUUUCUACAGAAGAUCUUCACCCCCUCUUCAGAUUACUGGAAGGAGAUCUGGCCUUACCAUCGCCGUGACAUUUGACAUCAGCAGCAAUGACAGCGCUGAAUACUGCCAUCUUGAAGAUGACCCAGCAAACGGUACUUCAAAGAAGACCUGAUCAUCUUAACCACAAGAACUGGAACUGUUGGGCUCAGUUAAAAUGGAUUAUUGUUUGUAUUUUAACUAUAGAGGAAAGAAUCGAUCAUUAGUACAGUGUGUUAAUUCUAGUUUAGCUGCUUAUAGAAAUCACUCUGCUUACUUUAGCCUGGGAGUGUGGGUACAGAAUGAGUUAAAAAUAAGGUUAGUUUUUGCUUUUCUCUGUGUUUUAGUUUUCAUUCCUUGCUUAUUACAGUGUGUUCAGGAAAUGAUUCAAGAUGCCUUAAAUCAUGCUUUUUUCAUUAGAAAAGAAGGGGGAGAUGUGGGAGAUGGAGAGGUCAGCUUGGCCUCAUUGGAUGCUGAUUCGCUGAUAAUGAGGUUCUGGAAAGGAGACAGAAGGCCUGAAUAAACAGGGGCGUUUUGUACCUAACCAUAAGAUAAACUCUGUGCUGAUUGUGAAGACUUAUUGAAUUUGCUUGCUUUCCAGCCAAUGGAUUGUUAGUGGAAAUGUACUGAAUAUGUGUGUUAGAAUAUAAAAGGCUUGCUUUAGAAAGUAGACAUAUAGAUACAGCAUCGUUGUCAUGAUCAUCACAGCAAUAAAGAAAUCUUCGUGGCAU